rfam:Operophtera brumata OBRT01_Sc00203, whole genome shotgun sequence.
CGGCCAGUGGCGGAGCGGUCAAACGCAUCUCCGUAUAAAGGAGACUGUCGCUGGUUCGAAUCCCGUCAGGUUGG